GGGCAGCAUGGUCUUAGCUUGCUAAGGCCGAUGGCGACCGGCGCACGGGUGAGUAACACGUAUCCAACCUGCCGUCUACUCUUGGACAGCCUUCUGAAAGGAAGAUUAAUACAAGAUGGCAUCAUGAGUCCGCAUGUUCACAUGAUUAAAGGUAUUCCGGUAGACGAUGGGGAUGCGUUCCAUUAGAUAGUAGGCGGGGUAACGGCCCACCUAGUCUUCGAUGGAUAGGGGUUCUGAGAGGAAGGUCCCCCACAUUGGAACUGAGACACGGUCCAAACUCCUACGGGAGGCAGCAGUGAGGAAUAUUGGUCAAUGGGCGCAGGCCUGAACCAGCCAAGUAGCGUGAAGGAUGACUGCCCUAUGGGUUGUAAACUUCUUUUAUAAAGGAAUAAAGUCGGGUAUGUAUACCCGUUUGCAUGUACUUUAUGAAUAAGGAUCGGCUAACUCCGUGCCAGCAGCCGCGGUAAUACGGAGGAUCCGAGCGUUAUCCGGAUUUAUUGGGUUUAAAGGGAGCGUAGAUGGAUGUUUAAGUCAGUUAUGAAAGUUUGCGGCUCAACCGUAAAAUUGCAGUUGAUACUGGAUAUCUUGAGUGCAGUUGAGGCAGGCGGAAUUCGUGGUGUAGCGGUGAAAUGCUUAGAUAUCACGAAGAACUCCGAUUGCGAAGGCAGCCUGCUAAGCUGCAACUGACAUUGAGGCUCGAAAGUGUGGGUAUCAACAGGAUUAAUACCCUGGUAGUCACACGGUA
rnacentral:rRNA from 1 species